GUGGGGAAUAUUGGACAAUGGGCGCAAGCCUGAUCCAGCCAUGCCGCGUGAGUGAUGAAGGCCUUAGGGUUGUAAAGCUCUUUCAGUGGGGACGAUAAUGACGGUACCCACAGAAGAAGCCCCGGCUAACUUCGUGCCAGCAGCCGCGGUAAUACGAAGGGGGCUAGCGUUGUUCGGAUUUACUGGGCGUAAAGCGCACGUAGGCGGAUCGUUAAGUCGGGGGUGAAAUCCUGGAGCUCAACUCCAGAACUGCCUUCGAUACUGGCGAUCUUGAGUCCGGAAGAGGUGAGUGGAACUCCUAGUGUAGAGGUGGAAUUCGUAGAUAUUCGGAAGAACACCAGUGGCGAAGGCGACUCACUGGCCCGUUACUGACGCUGAGGCGCGAAAGCGUGGGGAGCAAACAGGAUUAGAAACCCGAGUAGUCC
rnacentral:rRNA from 1 species